UACGUAGGGUGCGAGCGUUGUCCGGAAUUACUGGGCAUAAAGAGCUCGUAGGUGGUUUGUCGCGUUGUUCGUGAAAACCUGAGGCUUAACCUUGGGCGUGCGGGCGAUACGGGCAGACUGGAGUACUGCAGGGGAGACUGGAAUUCCUGGUGUAGCGGUGGAAUGCGCAGAUAUCAGGAGGAACACCGGUGGCGAAGGCGGGUCUCUGGGCAGUAACUGACGCUGAGGAGCGAAAGCGUGGGGAGCGAACAGG
rnacentral:rRNA from 1 species